rnacentral:rRNA from 1 species
CUGGCGGCAUGGAUUAGGCAUGCAAGUCGAACGGUGCAGCAAUGCAUAGUGGCGCAAGGGUGAGGAACGCGUGAGUAACCUGCCCUCAAGUUGGGAACAGCUUCUGGAAACGGAAAUUAAUACCGAAUGUGACCAUUGGAAGGCAUCUUCUGUUGGUUAAAGGCCGCAAGGUCGCUUGAGGAGGGGCUCGCGUCCCAUUAUGCUAGUUGGUGAGGUAACGGCCCACCAAGGCGAAGAUGGGUAGCUGGUCUGAGAGGACGAUCAGCCACACUGGGACUGAGAACUGCCCAGACUCCUACGGGAGGCUGCAGUCGAGAAUUUUGGGCAAUGGACGAAAGUCUGACCCAGCAAAAUGCCGCGUGCGGGAUGAAGGUCUUCGGAUUGUAAACCGCUGUCAAGUGGGACGAAACAAAUGACGGUACCGCUGAAGGAAGUCACGGCUAACUACGUGCCAGCAGCAGC